UUUAAUUUAAUUUAAUACUAAUUGGGUUCAAUUAUCCAAAUCAGAUUGGAAUUUCAAGCUCGAUUGGAUCAGGCUUGACAGCCUUUCGAAUUCGACUCGAUUUGAAUCCGAUUAAGAUCCAACUUUAACCAGUUGAACCAUGAUUCGGAAAGCCCAGGUUCCCUGGGACUCUCUCUAGUUUUCACGUAGAGAAGAGAAGGGAGUGCGUGAAAAUGCACCCCCUUUGUUUUUGCGUGCGUGAAAGGAGAGGGGGCACCAAUAGUUGGCACCCCACCCCACCUUAUCUGGAUUUCUCUUUCUUCCAUAUUUUUUUCUAUUUGAAUAUGAUUCAAAAUAGGAUAAAAACUUAUCUGAUUGGGGCAUGGAAGAAUUUUUUUUAUGUGACAAAAAAAUUGGAGAAAGUGGACGUGCGCUAAUUGUGAGAGGAGAUUUCUUUCUUACAAUACAACAUUAUCUCAAAACCCUUCUAUCCAUUGAUUUGGAUUUGCACGCCUAUGAUUUAAAGAGAUUAGAUCUCUUGGGCAUUAAGAAAGGUUUAGGCGUGAGAUAUUUGUUGGUUGGUGCGACAAAAAAAAAAGAGAGGUAGCGUGCGUGAGAUAGGAAGAGGGUCUUCUUUCUUACUGCAAACGUCAUCCAACGCCUCCUUUCUUUCUCCCCUACACCUAGAUCUGAUAGGUGAUCAGAUCUAAGAGAGAAAAAGAGAAAAAAAAAAGAAGAAGAAAGAUUCUUCCCUUCAUGGUGAUCUGGUUCAAAUCCCUUCAGAUCUGCGUGAAAAAGUUCGCGCAACGAUCUCCUUCUUCAAGAUCUAGAAGAAGAGAUCUAGAUUCAAGAUCGAGGAGCGAGAUCUACAAGGUGCUAGCACACCGAUGAUCUCAGUGCUCCAAUCAGACAUCUCCGUAUGGAUACCAGUAGAGGCCGGACGCGUGCGCGGCUACGAUCAGAACCCCGGACAUCCGCAGGAUCCAAGAUAUGGAGAUCUGAUCUUCGAUUUGUUUUUCUAACGAUUGUUUUUCUUUUAGAUUUCAGAUCAUGAUUGCAUGUUCGUGUCAAAAUUCUUGGUACGUAAAUAAAUUUAAAAUAUUUUAAUUUAUUUAUUGUCACUGCAUAAAUAUUUAAAAAAAAAUUUAAACUACACAUGCGAAACCGUAGCGGUUUUCUAACAGUAGUAUUAGAGCAUAGGUUCUGAUACGAACAUGAAAACUCCUCAGAUCUGAAAUCUAAUUUGUAGAAAUCAAAUCUGAAGGUUAGUUUGAUGAUCCACUCAUUUUGAAAUAAGAUUGUCCUGACAUAAUCCUAUUAUGCUGAAUGGUUGUCCUAGAACGAUGUAGAACAUCGAUUAAGGUUAGAUCUAAAUUUUCUACAUGCUGUAAUAUAAUUACAGGAUUAUUUUGGAUCUGAAAUUGUUUCAGAUCUGAAAUAUAUCAUGAGUUAUUUAGAUCUGAAUAUAUCAAUUAAGGUUUAAUUUGGAUCUAGUAUGAUUGCUGAAAUUUCUCUUAUAUGCACAGAUUUAAAAUUAUUGUUCAUAUGUUUGACAUGGAAAAAAUAAUUAGAUCUAAUUUUUUAAUUGAUUAUAUAUGUGAUAUGUUAGAUUAAAUUCUUAAUAGCUUAGUAAUCGAAUUGGGAUAAUCAUCAUGGCCAUCCGAUCAUAAGAUGAUGAAGGGAUUAAAGUCCCUCUCUUGCCCAUUUGAUGGGUUUUCUCUUAUGAUGUGUAGGGGUACUAACUGUGAUGUUUUCCAUGAAGAUGAACAGCGAAUGAAAAAUUAUAUGCGAUAUAUAUUUUAGAUUUAAAUCAAAUUAUGCAUGUAUUUUUAUGUUUUAAACCGAUUAAUAUUAUAUUUGAUAUAUUGUUUUGACACACAAUCUAUAACUUAAUUUCUGCAAAACCCUAUAUACAAAAUCCUAGGCUCUAUUUGCAUGAAACCAUGAAACUGUGAUUGCUAUGCCUAUGGAGUCAACUCGAUUCUCAAUUAGGUCAACUCAAGUGCUUGGUGAGUUGACUCAUUUUUGUUGGAGUCAACUCAUGACCCUAGUAGGUCAGCUCAUUUGCUGAUGAGCCGACUCAAUUAUGCAGGCUAGGUCUAUAGAUUUCUGUUUGUCUCAGUGUGUGCCGACUCACUGUGACAAGUCGAUUCGUGUACGAAGAUAAAUCGACUAGAUUCUGCAGACAAUCAUAUUGUAUGAGAUACAAUAUAAAUUGUUUAGAUUAUAAAAUAUUUCGAGAUCUAAACUCAAAUCCAUGUACAUAAUGCACUUAAUUGAGAAUUAAGAUUUGAAAUUAUAAGAUCUGAAAUUAUGAAUUUAAGAUCUAAAUUUCAAUGCAUAAAAUAUGGGCUUCGGAUAUGGGUUGAACAAAUUAGAUUUAGAGACUAAACAACAACUAGGAUCAUUGAUUAGAUCAGGUUAGAAUCCUUUUCAAUUUUGAGCAGUUGAUCAAACCUAAUCAAGAGUUGGUUGAGAUUAGGUCAAAGAGACUCAAAAUUGAAUUUAGUUGUAGUUGGUCAAAUUGAUUCAUAUUUGAUGUGAAUUAAUUAAGUCAAAACUGAAUUUGGCUCAGUGAUUCGAGCCCGAGUCUAUAGGUUAACCUAAUUGAUUCUAAUCAACCAAUUUGAUGUCUAAGGCAAGUCUUAGAUAGUAGUUCUUUAAUUGGUUCCGUUGUCUGACCUGACCAAUUCGUUGGCAUCUAAGGAAAGCAACGGGGGGACCCCCACUCAUCUUCACUUAUCUGGCCAUCUUGGGAGAUUAUAUUUUAUAUUAAGUUACUUGUUAACCCGAGUUCACCCAUACCGACUAGGUUGGUCAGACAUGAAAUGUGCUGACCUAAAUUAGAUUAAUCAUUACAUCAGAUGUAUGUGACUAAUUAGAAGAGAUCUAAAUUCAAAUGUCCUCACUAAAUAUUAAGUUUUCUGAUCUUCCACCAUUGUACAAAUGCGGAUGCCUUUUCCGACGUUGAUCGUUCUCGACUGAUUACAGUGAUUCAGUUGCAUCGAAAAGGUACAACCACUCUAUUAACAUUAGAUACCCCGAGGUAAAGAUGGGGUUGGACCCAAUAACUGUUAGGUGAGGGACCCAAUGAUGGCUUUGCACUCACUGGUGAACGAUGGGUCGGACUUAACUAAAAAAUAUGCCAAUAACUAUUAGGUGAGGCCAAAGGACUUAGAGACCAAGUUGCUGCAACAUGCUUGGAGAAGCAUCUGGACAAAGAGUUGUCCACACAUUGGUAUAUGUGUCACCAAUAACUGUUAGGUGAAGUGCCGUACAUCAAUAGGAUCGCAGCACCCACUAGAACCACUUAUCGCGUUAGAAUUUCCGUUUCUCCACCUGAAGAGUGUGAGAGACUCGAAAAAUUAAUAAGAGCCUUUGUUUGUUUUUAAAGUCCCUAAAACAAACUAUUACAAUUACAAUCAUCUAAUUAAAUCUUUACUCUCUAUGAUUAAUUCUUCAGCUUCUAACCCUCUAGCUCGAAUCGUAAAUAUCAACCACUUAACCGAAAUCAAUUACAUAUUUUGGCUCAAAAAUCUAAGAAUAGUUCUUAGCUUUUAGAAAUUAAGCCAUAUUUUUGACCAGAUUAACCCAAUGUCACCAGCUUGUCCAAUCCAUGGUCAACGAGCUAUACUUGAUAAAUGGUUAGACAUUGACAAUUAGAUUAGGUGCUAUAAAUUAGACUUCAUAGUUGAUAAAAUCCAAUGUACGCAUAAAAACAUGUAGACUGCCAAUGAUAUGCUGAUUCAUCUGCAAUAGUUGUGAGAUUAUUAGAGUUGCACAGUGCAUGAGAUAGGUGAUGGGCAGUUUGUUCAUGAUCGAUGAUCAAGAACAUUGAAGAGUUUGAAAAGCUCAACAUGACCAUGCAUAUGAAAUUGCUAAUGGAUUUGAUCCUGCAAUCUUUAAUUCAUACGGAUAAUUUGUGAAACUAUUAUAUGAAUAAAUAUUAUAGCACCUUAAUUGAAUUGAUCAAUAUGCUAGUAACUAAAGGAUCUUGAAAAGUUCAGAGGUACAUACCUGAAGAACCUAAAAAAAUAUUUAUAUGCCUUUGGAAGGUAUAUCGAAUUGCUCAAAAUUUGAUCUUACGGUUUUCUCUUUUUCAUUAGACUAGUACGCACUUUAAUAUAAGGUUUAAGAAAGAAAGAAGACUGAGGGAAGGUGAAGUGACUCUUUUGAGUCGGCAAUGGUGCAAAAGUUGCACUGAGGGCCAUCGGCACCUAAUCUCGAUGAUUAUCGUUUGGAUUUAGUUGUUGAUCAUUUGCAUAGUGAUGCAUUUGUGAACUUAUUUGAGCAAAAUAGUGAAUUUCAUUGGGUCUGAGAGAUCCAGAAUCAAAUUACCUAAAGCAUACAUAUGGCUCUUUUGGCUAGAUCAUGUAUGAGAAGAAACGAUUUGUCGAUUGGAGAAAAUGGGCCUUUAGGCUCAUUGACUGUUAAGUCAUAUCUAAUCUGUAAAUCAUCUCUUUGAAGAUUAAUGAUCAAGCUGUCCUUUAUAGGUUAAAGGGAUAAGACCACUCAGAUACUUACUCUAGCGCACAUACAAUAUGUAUGGCUCAUUUGAUAAGCCUGACUAGAAGGUUAUCACUACUUCAUCACCUUUACUGAUGAGCAGUCAUGGUAUAGAUAUGUAUGUAAGAUACAAAUCUAAAAGACUUUGAAAUAUUCAAAGAAUUCAGAUGUGAAGUAGAAAAAGAUAAAUCAGAAAAAUCCCAAAGGUACUUUGAUCAGAUCGAGGAUGCAAUACCAAAUAGAAAAUUUGUCGAUUAUCUAAAGAAAAUGGCAUAAUUUCAUAAUAGAAUUCUCCUUGUACACCUCAGCUUAACGGUGUAUAUGUGAGAAGCAAUGGUGCUAUAUGAGAUAUGGUCCGGUCCAUCAUGAACAUCACUAAUUCAAUUAUUGUUUCUUUAGGAACAAGGUUUAAUUUCUAAAAUUUAAAUUAGGUUUCCUCUAAAGUUGGUUUCACCACACCAUAUGAGAUAUGAUAUGGUGGACAGUUAGAGGAUAGGUCUGUGAGAGCUCGUUUACAGGGUAUCCCAAAAGGGUUUAAGAUGUCACUUUCUCUUUUCAGUGGUUCACAAUGUGAUUAUGAGCAAUCAUACUGUUUUCUUGAAAACAUUGGGAAGAUGAACUCAAAGAGAAUCUCUAAAGAACAACGAGUCACAGGACCUAUAUAACCUAUUUAAGAUAAGCCAAUAUAUGUAGUACCUCCUCCACCUCGUAGGUCUAGCAGGAUCUCCCAUCAUUUAGAAAGGUACUUGAUAUCCUUACAAACGAUUCAAAGGAAAAUAUUUCUCGAGGGAGAUUGAGAACAUAGGGAUGAUCCCAAAACCUACAACAACGUGAUAUGAGAAAUCAUGUAGUUACAUGAAGGUCAGUGGGAGGGUCCCACGCUGAUAUUGGUUAUGAUGUGGUUACAUAUAGAAUUUUCUUUUCAAAGACCUAUGUUAAACAUUCUGAAAAUAAAGGUCUAUAGAGAGAUCCUGAAAGGAUGUUUAUUUUUCACAGACAAGUAUAUGGAGGAGCUGCUGAAAGGGUUCAGCAUUGAAACCUCCAAGAGGGAUCCGUUAUCCUCUUAGGCAUGGGUGUAUGCCAUGCUAUGUACUCGACUUGGUAUAUCUUGCUGUGAAAGUCACGAGUAGAUAUUAAUCGAAUCCAGACUGGGAGCAUUGGAUUGCCAUGAAAAUAUCCCUAAGUACUUGAGAAGCACUAAGGGAUUAUUCAUCGUCUUUGAAGAAGAGUUAAAGCUAAGAGUGGGAAGAUACAAUGAUGCUAAUGGUAGAAUGUCUACAUCAGCAUGUAUGGUUCAAUUUAUUGGAAGGGUUUCAGGCAAUCGACCAAUGAAAGCUGAAUAUGCUAUAGAUGUGCAGGAUGCGCUCUGAUUCUUAUGAUAGUUGCAGAACUGGAUGUCAUACCAUUAGAUGCUAUGAUAUUGUACUGCAAAGAUAAUGGUCCAUAGCCCUUGCUAAGGAGUCAAGAUCUCACCAGAAGUCCAUGCAUAUAGAACAAAGAUAUACGCAAUUACCUCAAGUAGAAAUAUAUAGAAGUAUAGAGAGUAAACUCCACAUAAUAGUGGUAGGCCCAAGUCACCUAGCCAGCUAAACACAGAAGCCUAUCUUCAGAAGAUGGGGCUCAGAUAUAUGGCAGAUUGGCUUUAGUAUAAGUGAGAGUUUGUUAGAUGUGUGCUCUAGAAGCCAAUCUUGACUGACACUUACUUGUCUCUAGAGCAUGUUUUGUACUUGAUGGGCAAUCUUUAUAACCAAUCAUGUUAUUUAUGUCUAUGAUUUGUCCUAGAAUUAACAAAGAUGAUUUUGUAUAUUCUCAAGAUAUUGAGAAUUUGAAACAUACAUCAUUAGUUAAUUUCUAAAUGCUUCCGAUCAAAGGAUCGUCACGAAAAAUAGUGAUCAAUCCAUUCAAGAUCGAUGCACAGAUCACCUCCCUUUAGAUAGAUGAGUCUCGAGUCUGCAGUGUAGAGAGACUGGGAUAAGAGUGCAGGUGGUUGUUAGAGAACAACUUGCACUGAGCGUGACCAACAUGAGAAAUCACUUGGAUGUCUACUCACUCGUCAGUGAUUUUCUCGAUGUUGCAGUGGUAUGACUGAUCCUUUGACCUGCGGUGUGUUGGCUAUUCGCAGCAAGGCUACUUAGUUUAACUGCAUGUUCCCUUGAUCCCCAGCUAUUCGGGUUCUUGUUAUGCAUGUUGGCUAUUGUAGGUUCAGGUUCGCUGUUUGGAGUAGGAUGCACCUAGAUGGAAUCUAUCGACCUUGAUGGAAAAAGAGAAGUCCUAUGUGAUUCACAAGACAAUUCAAGAAAUCUCUGGCCAAAGUGUGAAUAGUGGAAAAAAGUUUCCAUGAAAUUCACAAAUGAACUCAAAUCGAGCUAAUCUAGCAUAUGACUGACAAUGGGGUUUGACGAGUUCUCCAUGACCUCCAUCAAGUCGGGACUCACGAUAGAGGAAUUGCAUUGCACGAUAAUUGCACCUAGGGAUUCAUCUUUUCUAUUCUACUGGGUUACCACUACAUGCUGCUAGACGUCACUGGUGGAUCGUGAGAACUCACUUAGAUCAUUUUCGGAUCAACGAUCUUUGUUAAAGUGAGUUAGAAUCGUUUCAGCCCAUCGAAAAGAGUUUCGAUGAUACUGUGAUGGAGAUCACGAUGUCUCACUAUCAGACAUAAUAGAACCUGAAGGGUCACAUACAAAAGAAGCAUGACCUGAUCAAUGGCUUGGAUCAUAUUUGAAUUAUCAAUCGGAUUGAUAGUUUGAAUUUUAGAAACUGCUAAUUUGUAAUCGUUACAGUUUUGACAGCUGCUAAUUGUUAGCGCAGAGACUUAUUGCAAAUAUUGUAAUUUUUUGGAACUGAUUAAAUUAUGAAAUCUUAAUUAAUUUAAAUCAGAUUUAAUUUAAUUUAAUUUAAUGCUAAUUGGGUACAAUUAUUCAAAUCAGAUUUGAAUUUCAAGCUCGAUUGGAUCUAACUUGACGGCCUUUCGAAUUCGACUCGAUUUGGAUUCGAUUUGAACCCGAUUAAGACCCAACUUGAACCAGUUGAACCAUGAUUCAGAGAGCCCAAGUUCGCUAGGACUCUCUCUCCAGUUUUCAUGCAGAGAAGAGAAGGGAGCGCAUGAAAAUGCGCCCCCUUUGUUUUUGCGCGCAUGAAAGGGGAGGGGGCAUGGCGCCCCACCUUAUCUGGGUUUCUCUUUCUUCCAAAUUUUUUUCUAUUUGAAUAUGAUUCAAAAUAGGAUAAAAACUUAUCUGAUUGGGGCAUGAAAGAAAUUUUUUUGCGCAAUAAGAAAAUUGAAGAAAGUGGACAUGCGUUAAUUGUGAGAGGAGAUUUCUUUCUUACAAUACAACAUUAUCUCAAAGCCCUUCUAUCCAUUGAUUUGGAUUGGAACGCCUAUGAUUUAAAGAGAUUAGAUCUCUUGGGCGUUAAGAAGGGUUUGGGCGUGAGAUAUUUGUUGGUUGAUGCGACAAAAGAUAAAAGAAGAGAGGUGGCGUGCGUGAGAUAGGAAGAGGGUCUUCUUACUGCAAACAUCCAUCCAACGCCUCCUUUCUUUCUCCCCUUCAUCCCCAAUGCCCAAAUCUGAUAGGUGAUCAGAUCUAAAAGAGAAAAAGAGAGAGAAGAAGAGAAGAAGGGUUCUUCUUUCCUUCGUGGUGAUCUGGUUCAAAUUCCGUCGGAUCUGCGCGAAAGAGUUCGUGCAGCGAUCUCCUUCAAGAUCUAGAAGAAGAGAUCUAAAUCCAAAGUUGAGGAGCGAGAUCUGCAAGGUGCUAGCACACCAAUGAUCUCGAUGCUCUGAUCAGACGUCUCCGUGUGGAUACCGGCAAAAGCCCGACGCAUGCGCGGCUACGAUCAGAACUCUGGACAUCCGCAGGAUCCAAGGUAUGGAGAUCUAAUCUCCGAUUAUUUUUCUAACGAUUGUUUUUCUUUUUGAUUUUAGAUCAUGGUUGCAUGUUCAUGUCAAGAUCCUUGCUACGGUUUUCGGAUCAGAUCUGAUACAUAAAUAAAUUAAAAAUAUUUUAAUUUAUUUAUUUUUGCUGCAUAGAUGUUUAGAAAAAUUUUAAACUACACGUACGAAACCGUAAUGAUUUUCUAACACUUCG
rnacentral:lncRNA from 1 species